rfam:Glarea lozoyensis 74030 unplaced genomic scaffold M7I_scaffold21, whole genome shotgun sequence.
ACAUACGACUAUAGAUUCUGGAGAAUUAGGCAUCCCGUCCGCUCUGCCAUCUACAAGCCAGAAAUCGGCAGAUUAGUAGUUGGGUGGGUGACCACCAGCGAAUACCUGCUGUUGUAUGUU